rnacentral:lncRNA from 1 species
CACAUUAUCCGUUGCUUUGCUGGACUCUGAGCUCCCAUCUCGAUAUCUGAGCCUAUUCUUCUUUGAAAUUCUGGCUUAUAGCAGGGGAUCGAUGAACAUUUGCUGGAUUGAAUGGAAUGGAAUGGAGUGGAAUUACAUUUUAAAAAAGAGGUGAAGGACCUAAUCUGUAUGUGAUCGCUAAGACUCAAUGGAAUGUUCUGGCCGGGUUUAGAGCAGGUUUAUAUUGUUACAUAAAUAACUUUGAAGAGGCAGUUAAUUGUUGAACUCUUAAAGAAGCAAAAUAGCAAUAUUUUAUUCAAAUAUUGUAUUAUUCAUUCAUCCAACAUCUGCUUAUUUAAGGUAUGCUACAAUGUUCUGGAUAUCAAACAGAUACAAAUCCCUGUCCUCCAGUAAGGUAUAUUUAGAACUCAAGGAGUAUGGUGAUUAGGGUAGGCUCUGGGUUCAGUUCUUAGCUUGGUCACUUACUAGCUGUGUGAUCUUGGGAAAUUUACUUAACCUUUCAGUGCCUCAGUUUCCUCAUCUGUAAAAUGAAGAUAAACAAAAGUGUCUGCUUCGUAGGGUUGUUGUGGAGAUAAAUAUGUUAACCCGUGUGAAGCACUUAGAAUAAUGUCUGGCAUAUAGUAUCCACUCAACAAAUGUUAUCCAUAGUUAUUAUUAUCUAAUAGUUGAUUUUACAACUGAGAAAACAGAGGUAUAGACUCCACAUUGGGUGCUGGCAUCUAUCCCCCUCUGGCUCCUCACCGUUUUCCUGGAUUAACACUUACCUGUCUUUAAGGUCUUGGCUUAGAAUCGUUCUGUCUGGAACCUCCACGAAUACAGACAUCUGAGUUAUUGGAAUAAGAUGAAGUUCCUGGGCACUAAAUUGGUGGAGAAGAGAGAGAGGACAACGUGGUGAAGCAGAGAAAGAUGUGGAAGCUUGGGUCCUGCCUUCAAGGCCCACCUUGAGAAGAGGUUCAGGGACACCUGCCGUGGGGUCCAUCUGUCAUGGGCAGAAGCAGAUGGCAUGGCCUCACGGGAUAACAUUUGUAGAAUUGUGCAAACAAGUGUAGUGGAAAUGAUGGUGUGAUGUGGUC